CUACCGUAUAAAUGGCCCUCGGUACGGCGGACGCUGUUCUGGCCGUCGCUCCAUUGAGCUUCGUCUCAUCCUUUCGCCUCGAACCCUGAACAAUUGGAACUGAAAUACAAAUCAAACGAUGAUAAAGCUGCGAUUCUGCUCAAUCUCUCCCUCUUGCCCCAACUCCCAUCUGCCGGGGUUUAGGGCACCGUGGUGCGGUGUACGAAUCAGAGACAAAGAUCUGUGGGUGCUGAGGUUAAGGUAUCAACAGCAAGAAAAGGCGGUACUGUGGAAGGCUAACAGGGACUGACUCGAUUUCCUUGGCAGCAGCGGGGGUUGCAUAGCUGUCGGAGAUCGACGAGGAGUUGCAUAGCCCACAACCGACCGUGAAUAAGAGGGAGACGAUCCAUCGGCUCGCCGCAUCCAGUUUCUCAUAUCUGCUCUUCACGCCCUAGGAUCAUCAAAGACAGCCUAAGAAGACAGGAACUAAGAUCGUGUGAAAGAUGAGAAAGCUACUGACACCGUCCUCUGCUUCUGUUGAUGAUGAUGCUGUCAACAAUGUUGUUCUUGCAAAGCCGGAAGAGUGUACCAAGAAACUAUGUCUAAGAUGCCGGAUGAACCAAUUCAGUUUGAAAGGAUUGGUAAAUUCUGGUUUAUAUCACCCGAUGAAGCUUCUUCACCGUCACAAGCACGAGGAACUAAAUGCCUAUAGCAUCUACACCGGUCUUCACAUGUUUCCGAGACCGGGGAUGAGUAGGAAGGCGGUUCAUAUCAUAAUGAAGUUGCCACGAUGGGGGUGCCUUUUGAUAGUCGAUGCUCCAGUCCAGAAGACCAAAGAUUUAGUAAAACUUACCUGCGGAAGGUUAAAGAAUUACAAAGUUGCAUAGUUUUCAUGUUCUCACCGGAAAUAAAUAAAGCACGAGACGUGCAAUGGUUUUUCCUUUUAGUUGCUUAUGUAUUCCUGCCUUUUCUCAUGGAGCUAGAGUGGUAUCUUGGUGAAACCUGUCUAACUUUAGAAAGCCAUCGUCUUAUCCUCGGAGCUGGAGAGGCAUCAAGAGGAUGAUGACGUGCUUGAUCAGUUGGGGAAGGGGGUGAGACGUGGAGACUUACUUGUGUAUACAAAUAUUACAUGCAGGUUUUCUUUCUUUCAAGAAGCCAACAGCCAGAGAUAACGUUGAGUUGAAUGAGUUUAAUGGUUGGAAGGGAUCGUGCCUGCCACUUCCACGGCCAUCGCUGUGACCAGUUGUCAACAGCUUUAUCAAAGGGAGUACAUGAUUUACUUACUUUACCACAUAACAUGUUUUCUGCAGUUGGAUGGGCAUCCUGCAUCCUGCAUCCUGCAUCCUGCAUCCUGGUGGUGGUCGAAAUAGUAAAGCGGUAUCGCCGAGGUGGCGGUCCCCCCCUUUGUCAGGGGUUCAAAAUCACGAGUUUGGCCAUCUCGGACCUACAAAAGAGUGAGGAGCCAAAUUUAAGGUAGGCAGAAGCACGUGCUAGGCAAUCACAAAAUGGGUAUGUCGACUUCCAGAUCAGUGCAGAAGAGUCCACGGAGCAUGUGGAAUGCGUUGAUCCGGGAGCAAGGUUUCUUCUACAUCCUUCCUUGGUUGAAUAGGAUCUUUACGACUCAUUACAUGCAGUGUCAUGUGGAGUGCAUUUCUCGUGGUGCAAGUCUCUUCUUACCACAUUUUCUACCA